AUACUCUUCUGGUUCACAAGCAUGAUGACUGGGUGUCUUCAUGGCAUUGGGUGAGCAGUGCCUCCAUCAAACAUUUAUAUAGCCUGGAAAAUUACCCAUCCAAUG